GCUUGUCUCAAAGAUUAAGCCAUGCAUGUCUAAGUAUAAACUAUUUUAUACUGUGAAACUGCGAAUGGCUCAUUAAAUCAGUUAUAGUUUAUUUGAUGGUACCUUACUACUCGGAUAACCGUAGUAAUUCUAGAGCUAAUACAUGCAUCAAGCCCUGACUUCGGAAGGGGUGUAUUUAUUAGAUGGAAACCAAUGCGGGGCAACCCGGAUUCAGGUGAUUCAUAAUAACUUUCGGAUCGAUCUUCGGAUCGAUGCAUCAUUCAAGUUUCUGCCCUAUCAGCUUUGGAUGGUAGGGUAUUGGCCUACCAUGGCUUUAACGGGUAACGGAGAAUUAGGGUUCGAUUCCGGAGAGGGAGCCUGAGAAACGGCUACCACAUCCAAGGAAGGCAGCAGG
rnacentral:rRNA from 1 species